ensembl:lncRNA
CCUCUCUGCCAGGCCCGGGGGGAGAGAGAGGGUGGUGAGCAAAGGGUUAACCUGGUAAAGUCACAGGCCUGGCUCUGAGCCACCCGGGUGCCCAGCUGUCCCUGCGGGCAGGCAGAACCUUAAGGACAGAGGGAGGCAACCCUAGGGUGCCACAGGCUGGGCUCCUGUUGGGUAGGAGUCCGGUCACAUGUUGCUGUUCGACACGCUCCUGGGUCAGCCUCCUGUCUGACGCCCUCCCUGUCGCUGCCUCCCUCCCGCCCCUCAGCUCGGCUCGGCUCGGCUCGAGGAUCAGCGGCAGCAGCGGGAGAGCUGCCCUAGCGGCGGGAGGCGGCGGACCGAGCCCGAGCGGAGCCCGCACCAUGGUGCUCUCGGUGCCUGUGAUCGCGCUGGGCGCCACGCUGGGCACGGCCACCAGCAUCCUUGCGCUGUGCGGGGUCACCUGCCUGUGCCGGCACAUGCACCCCAAGAAGGGGCUGCCGCCGCGGGACAGCGAGCCCGACCCGGAGAAGGCGAGACCCGGGGUGCUCCAGCCGGCCCAACAGUUCAACGUGAAGAAAUCCACGGAGCCCGUCCAGCCCCGUCCCCUCCUCAAGUUCCCGGACAUCUAUGGCCCCAGGCCAGCCGUGACGGCUCCGGAGGUUAUCAACUACGCAGAUUACACACUGGGCACCACGGGGAGGAGGCUGCUGCAUGCCCAUCAGCCCUCAGCCCCUGAGUGACAGUCGCCUCAAGAGGCAGGUCACCGAGGAGCUGUUCAUCCUUCCUCAGAAUGGUGUGGUGGAGGAUGUCUGCGCGUCAUGGAGACCUGGAAUCCAGAGAAGGCCGCCAGCUGGAACCAGGCCCCCAAACUCCACUACUGUCUGGACUAUGACCGGCAGAAGGCUGAACUCUUUGUGACUUGCCUGGAAGCUUUGACCAGUGACCACGACGGAGGCUGUGACUGCUAUGUGCAGGGCAGCGUGGCCAUCACGACAGGGUCCGUGGAGGCCCAGACGGCCCUGAAGAGGCGACAGCAGCACACAGCCUGGGAGGAGGGCCUGGUGCUGCCCCUGGCAGAAGAGGAGCUGCGUACAGCUGCCCUGACUCUCACCCUCAGGACCUGUGACCGCUUCUCCCGCCACAGUGUGGCCGGGAGCUCCGCCUGGCCCUGGAUGGGGUGUCCGUGCCCCUGGGGGCUGCCCAGUGGGGCGAGCUGAAGACCUCAGUGAAGGUAGGGUCCAUCUGGUCCAUGCCAUGGAGACAGGGACAGUCUGUCCACGGAGCGUCAGGGCAGAAAUCUGGGCCAGAAGGGUCAGAACAAACCUGGAGACCUUCAGGGGCCAGUGAGAGGUGUGGAGGGGCCUUGGGCAGGGCCGGGGCUGGAGAAGACCUGUGGCCUGGGGCUCAGGGUUCCUGGGGUCCACUUCGGCAGUGCUUCUUGGCUGCUGCACAGGUCCCCUGCCACCUUCAUGGAAAGCUUCACGGGUGUGCACUGGCUCUCGUGCAACAGCAGUGCCAUCCAUCCUUUUUUUGUUCUUUUGAGACAGGGUCUAGCUUAGGGCUGGUCUUGAACUCACUAUGUAGGUUAGGCUGGCCUUGAACUCUUGGCGACCCUCCUGUCUCAGCCUCAGUGCUGGAGUUAUGAGUAUGCAUCGCCAUACCCAGCGAGCAUCCCUGCUGAAUCCAGUCCUACUCUGUGUGCACCCGCUAUGUGCCAGGCACUGCAGGGAGGGGUGGACAAGGGGUGGGGGAGAGGCAGCACUCGGUGCUCAUAGAAAGCGCAGGCUAAAGGGAUAAACCAUGCUGACCAAUGGCAGUGACGAUGACCUCUGAUGUGUGGGAUCCUGGGCUGAGCCAAAGUCCUGUGAGAGAAAGUUCUGGAAGGCUUGGUGCAAGGUGGCCUUGCACUGGGCUCUGAAGGACCCACUGGGCUGAGGAUGAGUCCCCAGGUGAUUUCCCACCUCUGCUGUGCUGAGGUGACAGUGACAGAGAGUCAGGCAGGACACAAGGCAUUCCUCAGAAAGGGGGCUCCACGUAGGCCAUGGUGGGCAAAAGUCCAGAGGAGGGCAGGGCUGGGGAUGGUGCGGGGCCACUAGUGCCCUAGUCAAGGCCACUCCAAGCAGCCUGCACUGUGGUGACUGGUCUGUCACCUCUGCCCAGAGACCGCAUGGCCCACAGUGCCUGUCUGGCCCUUUCUAGAUUGUUUGGGCCCCUUGUGCUGCAGUAGUAGGAAUGCUAAUCAGGUGCGUGGCCUCCUCCUUCCUUCCUUCCUUCCUUCUCUCCUUCUUUGCUUUCUUUUAUGGUGCUGGGGAUUGUCACACUGAGCUACUGUCACACUGAGCUACAUCCCUAGCCCUUUCUAAUUUAUUUUUUAAUUUUUGAGACAGUGUCUCAGUAAAUUGCCCAGGCUGGGCUUGAAUUUGUGACCCUCCUUGCCUCAGCCUCCCAGAGUGCUGGGAUUACAGGCGUGCGCCACCACCGCUGGCUCAGGAUGCUAUUUCUGAGUGCUCCCCAUAUAUCAGCAGCGAUCCUUAGGACUUAACCUGAGUUCUUCCACCUACUUCCCAAAUCCAGCAGUGAGGGAGACGCCAUGAUGGUCCCAUUUGUGAACUGAUGCUCAUCGUUGUUGAGGAACUUGCAUAGGUCACCAGCCAGGACGCCGAGAGCCCAGCCUUGAGGCCGACUCACUGGACUCUAAUCCCUGCUGUCUCAUCCCUGCCACGAGCAUGUGCCUGACAAGCAAGAGGCACAACCUUUCCUAAUGGGUACCCUGAGGUCAGGAGAGAGGAGAACAGUUCCACUCCCCACCUUGCUCCUCUCUUGCCAGCAUUUCUUCCUUGCCGCAUUUUCUCUUCUUUCCUAGGCUUGGAAAAUUGAUAGAAUAAUCACAGUCAUUCCAGCAUGGUUCCACAGCAUGCUCUGUAAUUAGUGUGUGAUUCGGGCCUUGUGUGAACACAGACAGGCGCCCUGGAAGAAGCCAAGCACAGGAGGACCAGCUUUCUCCAGAGAUGCGGAGCCCUCCUCCCUGCCUUGCUGAACUUUAGGCUUUGCUACAAGCCCAAAAGGGCUGAAAUCCCACUGACCAGUCUCAGGCACCUCCCUGGCUUUAAUCCCUCCUGUAGAAAAGCAGUGUCACCCAUCCAUCCACCCACCCCCCAUCCUCCAUCCAUCUGUACCACAAAUACCCUGUUCUCCUGGGGACACAGCCCGAGCUGCAGUGCAGCCCCAUCCACUGCCACACCUGCCAGUACUCAACCCUCUGCAGACAUCCCCAACAUCCACUUCCCUUGGGAAUGCGAGGCAGAGAGAGCCCCAGCCAGCCAGGGAGCCUCUAUCUGGGUUGAGGGCAUGGGCUGGCUUAACCCUGGUGGGGGGCCUGCAGUUGUGGGGCCAGGUAUUGCCUUCUCUGGGCCAGAAGGGGUUAACAGAGGCACCGGCAGUGCCUCAGUUCUAGCCAAAGACACUCAGCCAAAAGUGGCUUGUGCGUCAGCAGGGCCCACAGCGCGACUCACUCUGAGGACAGCCUGGAGUGAUUCAUUGAGAGCCAGAGAGAAAGAGGGGGUGAGAAAGGAGGUACUUGAAGAGCCAGGAUGCCAAGGGGGCAGAUGCCAACACGCUGUGCUAAGGUGCAGAGGGCAGGGUGGUCCAGAGCCCCACAGGGCCGGCAGGCGGGGGGCCCCUCCCUGGGCUGGGGAACAGAAGGCUGCAGCCGUCGCCCCAUGGCUACAGCCUGAGCCAACCAUGAACCCCUGCCACACAACCUUGAGUCAGAAGGCAGUGCCUAUCCCAGCUCUGCUGCCACCCUGCGGGGUGCCUGGCACCUGUCCCCAGCCUCAGUUUCUUCUCUGUGGAGUGAGGGGCUGGGCGUGUCCACCUGGGAAGCCAGAGGCCAUGGAUUUCACACUCAGGCUUCCCCUUUUAGACCAGACCUCCCUUCCCGUUCCAGUGCAGGUGCAGGUGCUUGUGCCUAGGAGGGGCACAAAGUCAGCACCUUCUGAGAGUCAUUGUCAGGGGUAAAAUGGGAUGUCUCACCUUCAAAACAGGUUUUUGGACAUUUAUUUGGUGCCCACUGUGCUCCAGGAGCUGGGAUGCAUAAGGAGCUGACAGCCCCUGGGGAGAGAUUAUGUAAUUGAGUGCAUAGUAAAUGUUUAAUAAGCAACAGUUGCUAUCAUUUAUGUUGUCCUCAAGGUUCCUUGAGGCCCCUAGACCAGUUUUUCAUACAGGAGUCACUUGUGGCUGAUUGAAUCAGUGGCAUCGAGUUGGAGACAUUUUUCCUGCAUGGCAAGUGUGACCCAAGGAGGAGGUAUAGUGAGCCUGGCAGAGGGCUGGCCAUUGCUUCAUCCAGCUUCGUUCCCAAGCCCAGAUUGGCUCCUACGGACCCAGAAACAGUGCUCAAGAAGUGGUGAUGACCCUUCCCAGAGAACUAAUGGUGAUAAUCCCAGCCAAAGGGGCCACAGUGCCCAGGAUGUGCUGGGCACUGGUCUAAGCCUUUGCCUCUGAACUCAGUUUAAUUUUUACAACAGUCCCUUAAGGGAGAGAUAAUACUAUUCGCAUUUCACAGAUAGGGAAGUCAAGGCUCAGAAAAGCUUAAGUAACUUCCCCAAGCUCACACAGCUAGUAAGUGGUAGGACUGGAACUCAGACCCAGAUAGGCCGGCUCUAGAGUCUGUGCCCUAAGCAUUAUGGAGUGCUUGCUCUGGGUUAUUAAUAAUUGCUGUAGUUUUGACAGCUGUCAUUUGAAUUAUAAUUGAUGGCCUUUCAUGGGGUCUUGCUAAAUGCAUUUUCUCAUCUGAUCGCUGCCAUUUUUAUUUCCUCGUAGCACUGAAUGCAGCUUGAUGUUACUCACGUAAUCAUUUCCUGUCUGUCACCCCCACCCCGUGUGACUGAAAACUCUCGGGAGAUUGUGCUUUGCUCAGCGCCUUAACUGCAGCAUCUGAAACAUAGCGGGUGCUGUUUGCAUGUCUGCUGCAUGGUGGAUGAGUCUCUCUUUUUUUCUGCUAAAGGAACCAACGUUUAGAGCAGUUAACUGGCUUGCUCGGUGUCGCACAGGAGGUAAGUCGUACAGCAGGGUCUGCAGUACUGCUGUGCAUUCACUUCCAGCCAGGCCCUGUGCUGGGAAAGCCAAAAGGGGGACAGAGUGAAAGUCGUGGCAUGGACUGGGACCGGCGUCCAUGGCCCUUCUCCGCCUUCCCAGUUUCCUCGUGCAGCAGCUAAGGGGGUGCCGUCUUUCUCCUGGAGGCUGCGAGGGAAGGACAUCUGCCUUCUGCUGAGAAUCCCCUGGUCCCUGGCCACUCGAUCCCGCUCCUCCCUGCCAGGUCUCCCUCGAGCUCUGAUGGCCACCGAACCCACACUCCCUGGGAGGUUACCGGUCAUGUUUUUGUGUGCUUGUGCCUUUGUCUUUCGGUUCCUUGACAGAUUUAUAGGCCUGUCAGUGGAGACGCUCUGUGAAGUACACAGGGGACAGAUGUGUCUUGGUGCUUCCUGGAGACCUUUAUCUCCGGGGCGCUUUCUGCUAUCCUGCGCUCAUAGUGUUUCAUUGACUUUGGCCAAGCAAGCCCCUGCUCAGCAUUAUUGACCAAGCAAGCCCCUGCUCAGCAUUAUUGACCAAGCAAGCCCCUGCUCAGCAUUAUUCUAACAUUUUGUUGACUGAUGGCCCAGGGUAAAUUGGCUUUUCAAACAAAGAAAUGAAUUACAACUCUUCACUGCUCUGAGAACCUGAUUGGUCAGCACAUUGAUUCUCAAACUUUAUUCUCUGAAUCCCUAGAGUUCUGCAGAGGAACCCCAGGAAGCUAGGGAUGAGGCAGGAGCAAAGGGUGAGGGGAUCUCAGAUUUCUGCCCCUGAUACAUCUUCAGUGCCAUCUCCUUGCUCUGUGAUUGAAAAUAAAAACUUAUUACAGUAAAAGACACAUUACCAUUCAUCUCCCCCACAAUACUCUCCUUCAAUUCCAACAUACGUACCCCAUUAUUCCUACCAAUUUCUGCAGCGGUUCUGGAAGUCACCCUUUUAGUUGCUGUGGCUAUUAAAGUGAAUGUUGUAAUUGCCUUAAUGUCCUGAAUUGAUUCAAAAUGUCAACUUUUCCUGGUCGUUUUGACUUGAAGAGGAAGCAGAAGUUGCAUGGUCCCAGGCCCAGUGAAUGAGGUGGAGGGGGCACAUCGUGAUGUUUUUAUAAGGAAGGCUUUCUUUUGGAUGGCACCUGGCAGCAGCAGUCACCAUAUUUUUUAUUACAUCUCACAAAGAUACUCAGGAAAUAGAACUCCAGAGCUGCUUUAGAAAGUGGGGGAGGAUUUGGGGGGAGGAUUCAUGGCAGUGUGUCUUUUAAUAUAAUAAGCUUUUCUGACUGAAACUCUCACCGUAUCUUUGAUCACCCCUUGUAUGUUGGACCUGAAUAUAUGACACCUGGAAAACCACAUUUGGUGGCAGACAGCAAACUCCUGUGGACACCCACACCCCUUAACACUCCUCAUGCCACGCUCCUCUAUGGGGUGCAGGGGAGAAGCCAGGCUGGGUGGACGACUCCUGGGUGCCCCUCGAUGCAAGUCCGGUGCUACCAGGCUAAGCAAUGCUUGUGGGUGAGAAGCCACCCCCUGUGUCCCCUUCUGUUUCAGGAGCCGUCUUCGGGGACUGGAGAGGUCCUCCUGUCCAUUAGCUACCUCCCGGCUGCCAACCGCCUCCUGGUGGUGCUGAUCAAAGCCAAGAACCUCCACUCCAACCAGUCCAAGGUGCUCCUGGGCAAGGGAACCCCCGCACAGGACCCAAGUCUUGAGAUCAAGGCGGGCUCUCGUAUCUGAGUAGGAAGACAGCUGGGUUAGCCAGAUAAUACCUGGACUGGGGACCAAGUGCUCAUAGCUGGAGAGAAACGCAUCUGUAUUAGUAGCAGGAUACAAAUAAAGCAUUGCCAUUAUGUACAGAAUCUUUAAGCAAAAAGUUUUGGACAAAUGAAAUCAGAAGGGUUAAUCUUGUUGGCAGAUUCCCAAGCCAAAGAUGUCUCAGUCAAGGUGACCUUGAAGCACCAGGCUCAGAAGCUGAAGAAGAAGCAGACGAAACGGGCCAAGCACAAGAUCAACCCUGUGUGGAACGAGAUGAUCAUGUUCGAGCUGCCUGACGACCUGCUGCGGGCCUCCAGUGUCGGAGCUGGAGGUGCUGAGCCAGGAUGAGGCUGGGCAGAGCUGCACCCUCGGUCACUGCAGCCUGGGCCUGCACACUUCCGGCUCAGAGCGCAGCCACUGGGAGGAGAUGCUCAAAAACCUGCGCCGGCAGAUUGCCAUGUGGCACCAGCUGUGCCAGUAGCCGGGCCCUUGCGGGGACACGGGCCCCUCCUCCAGCCCCAGCUGUCCCGUGCAACCUCCUCUGUCCCCACCCUCAUUCUGAGACAGACUGGGACCCGCGCUUCCUCUCUGGCCACACUCCUGUUUCGAAAGGGCAAGUGUGGAAAUGGGACAUCGGGUCGCACAAGGAGAGCACCUUGCUCCUCUGUGCUAUGGGAAGAGCUGUCUACCAGACAAUCCUGUGCAGGACUUGCAAGUGUGGGAAGCCAGAUGCAGGGGGAGCUUAAUUCAGGGAAUUGUGGAUGCAAAGAGGUUCCUAAAAAUAAGUAUUGCAACAAGAAUGAAGGAGAAAUGAUCCUGGAUCAACUCAAAGAGUUAGAAGUGGUCUGGGUGGGAUGAAACCAACCCCCGCCAAGCAGCUGUAGGACGUUAGUGUGUAGAGACUCACCCGCCAGCUCCUGGGCCGCCAGUGAGUUCCAGGUCAGAGAUUCGGGCCAAGCCUCUUCCUCAGUCCUUCUAAGCACUGAGAGAUUCCAAGGCAGAGGUGGGAGGACGUGGAGGGGUUCUGUCUACAACAUUCUACGUGGGCUUUCAACCUCUGUCUGCUAUGGGGCCCCAACACCUGGAGGCAGCGACCCCAACCCUGGGCACCUCAACCCUGUGUGUGAACUCAAAGCCUCCAUUUUUGAUUUAACUCUUAAUGUUGAAAUGUGUGCUUUUUCCAGGUCCUGCUCUUGGGCUGCAUUUUGUGAUUUUUAUUGAAGGACUGUAUUGUUUUAUCUUGAAAUUGGCUUAUAUUGUGUGUGAGGAGACCUUCUUCCACAAAGUAUAGGUGGGAUCCUCACUCUGUUGGUUAUUGGGCUGGAUUCUGAGCAUUAGUUGUCACAUCUACCAGCAUUACCAAAGUGACCCUGUGCAACAGAUCCAUUCCUUCUCUGCAUUCCAGCUGCUUCCGGAGGAAGUUAAUUAUGAACUUGGUCUACUCCAUUUGGCUGCAGGAACAUGGAGAGGAAAGACAACUUUAUAAAGGAGUGAGGUCUUUUGCAGACAUGCCUCCCUCCCUGGGUUUGGGGGUCCUUAAAACUUUAACCAGUAAAUAGCUAGCAGCUAGAUUUUUACUUUCUACCUGUUAUUCCCAAAUCAUUGUCCCCACUGUGAUUAAAUCUACAUGAAGGUGGUCAUACUACUCAUCAGGAACUGGAUUGCUGGGUUCUGCUGCUCUCACUGCCCUUCACAAGCUUAAUGUGGCCAUCUGUCAAGUAGGGCUAACAUCCUGGGAUCUUAUCUGUGUGCAUGAUAUGGUAGGUGAGAAAGUGUUCAAAAAGUUGAAGGUAUUCCUCAGCUAAGAACAAACUCCGAGACCACUAGCAGGUCACCUUUAAGCUAGGUUACUGUCUUUCACGUCAAGCUGGGAGCUGAGAAUGCCUAGAAAGUGUCAGACCUGCUCAAAUAUUUCCAGAACCAUGGAUUCUGCAUUUGAACUUCUUUCUAUUAAUAGUCAAACUCUGGGCCCUCCGAUGUCAGCCCCAUUCUCUGAUGGAAGGGAGGAUUCCUGGAUGAGCUGUCUAAGCAUCAUUCUUCUUAAAUUCAGUUGUUCUCGGCCUCUCCUUGAGCAGAGCCUUCAUACUCUUUUGUCAUUAUUUGCUCUUUCUAUACAGAAAUGGGAAAGCACUAGAAAUAACUUCUACCCACUCUGUGGAAACAGAAAAAAAUAUAUAAUCCCUCUUUAAUGGGCAGGUCUUUCAGAUAAUUGGAAACCUUGAUCUUUCAGGUUGACCCACCCUUGUUCCAAGUGUUUUUUCAAAGGUGCAGUAUUGUCUUUGGUUUCCAAAAAUGUGUUUCUGAGUUCACCCUCUCUGCCCUGGUCUCUUCUUUUUGGUUGGCAUGGCAAAAAGAGAACAAAAUAUUCCCCAGGUCACCUGAAAGCUGGCCAGCAUCUUCUUUAACAUGCGCUAUCUAGAAACAUGAGUUCCACUUCCCUAUAAAUCAAAGCACUGCUUAUAGUCCCACCAAAGAACAUUUGAAGAGUGCUGGACAGGGCCCCCUGGCCCAGAGCAUCAAUGCCACCCAAAGUCAACCCAUUCAUUUCUUUGGAUCUCAAAGGUUUAGUUUUCCAGAAUGAAAGCUAAAGGCUGCUCCUGAUAGGGGUCACAUUAUACCAUAGGACAUUUUAGGUGCCAUUGUCACCCCACUUGGCAGAGAGGCACAGAAAUGGCAUAGGCUCUGCAGGGGCCUCAUUUGGAUGUUCACUGGUGGAUUCCAAAUGCCUAGGAUAAAGCUGUCUUAUGGGGCUCCAACAGGGCUUGCUGGAUGAAUGAAUGAAUGAUGGGAGAGGUGUCACCAGAAAAGGACACAGCACAUGGCAGAACAAGGAGAGCCCUGGCUGAGUUGACAAUGGUAAAGAUGUCAGUUGACUCAACAGUUAGCCUGGAAAUUCAUGACAUUGAGUAUUAGCAUUCACUCAACAACAGUCAAAGGUCUCCAUGUAAAUGGAUUUAACAAAAAAGAGAAUAUAAUUGCCAUACUUUCCCACCCAAACUCCAUUCUGGUGAAUUUUAAAUUACCCAAAGAUGUCAGACUGCCAAAUCAAAAAAUUUUGGUAAUCUUUGCCUCGGUUUACCUUGUACCAGACACACUUGCAAUUUACCUUUUAAUUAGAGUGAUGAAGUCUGUGUGAACAUAUUUGAUAAUUUUUGAAAGGGUUACCUUGUUCUAUGUAGGGAAGCAUUUUCUAAGAAAGGUGUGAAGCAGAGGUAAAAACAAAGAGUCUGUUUCAGGCUGGGCUGUCACCCAAGAGGGGACCUGUUUCUUUCUUAGAGACAGCCACGGGCUUGGAGGAUUAAGGAUCCACCUUCAUUUGUUGGUGACUUCACUUCUUGAGCCAUCAGUCUGUACUUGUUGAGUCCUGUUCCUCAAGACUUUGCAUGUGUCUGUCCCUUCCAAUUUCAGAUGUGACUCUUGGUCUGGGUUGUGUGACAAACCACCCUAAUUGAAGCUAGGCAGAGGGAGUGGGGGGAACAGGAGUGCUGUUCUUUGGGACCACUUGGAAAGGAGUCCUGGAUGGAAGGUGGAUGCAGCCUAAGCCAAAUGGACAAGGUGAGGACAGGGAAAAGAGACCUAGUCCUUGUGAUUUGUUGCUGCCUUUGCUGUUUCCUGUUGUCAAUUGCUCUGUGUGUGUGUUAGUGUGUGUGUGUGUUUGUGUGUGUUUUGCUAUCAUGAACUGAAGCACAAAUAGAGGCAUGAGACAUUGUAGUCAUGUAUUCCGUGUCACACUCUGGAGCAAAACUAGUGCAGUGGUAAAUAAAUAACUUCCAACAGGGUCAGUAGCUUGGUGUUUCUCUGUUUUGUUCUGUUUUUUCCUUUCACUUAAUAUUUUGGACAUCUAAAAUGCAGGAAAAGUAAAAACAAAAACAAAAACAAAACACUUUGCAGUCAGCAUUCACAAACCACUGUCAAUAUAAUGAACCUUGACAGCUGCAGCUCAGUCUGCUCUGUGCCCUCUACUCCAGACCUGCCUCUGGGUUUUUAUC